rnacentral:misc_RNA from 1 species
GAUGAAGAACGUAGCGAAAUGCGAUAAGUAAUGUGAAUUGCAGAAUUCAGUGAAUCAUCGAAUCUUUGAACGCACCUUGCACUCCUUGGUAUUCCGAGGAGUACGCCUGUUCGAGUGUUAUGAAGCUCUCAAAACGCAAUUGGCUUAAAACCUGAUUGUUGUUUUGGAUUUGAACUUUGCCGUGUUAUAACGGCUGGUUUUAAAAGUAUUAGCUGGUACUAGAACGAAUUGGUUCUACUCAACGUGAUAAUUAUUUGAUCGUUGAGGACAUUCCUUUCACGAGGAAUGGCCAUAGUAAAUUCAAUGGACUGCUUCUAAUCUGGCUUUAAUUCUUUAUUGGAUUAACCACUUUUCAAAUCUGACCUCGAAUCAGGUGGGACUACCCGCUGAACUUAAGCAUAUCAAUAAGCGGAGGA